rnacentral:rRNA from 1 species
UACAGAGGGUGCGAGCGUUACUCGGAAUUACUGGGCGUAAAGCGCGCGUAGGCGGCUUUGCAAGUCGGGUGUGAAAUCCCCAGGCUUAACCUGGGAGCUGCAUUCGAGACUGCAUUGCUAGAGUAUGGGAGAGGGAAGUGGAAUUUCCGGUGUAGCGGUGAAAUGCGUAGAUAUCGGAAGGAACAUCAGUGGCGAAAGCGACUUCCUGGACCAAUACUGACGCUCAUGUGCGAAAGCGUGGGGAGCAAACAGG